rnacentral:ncRNA from 2 species
UAAACCCCAAAAGCGCCUGAACUAAGGAGUUGCCUUAGUUGACGAGGAGGAGGAGUAUCGAUCGUUCGGCGGAUACCUCCCGACUGAUAUCGCGCAGUCGAAUGGGUCAUUUUAAAACAUAGAGGUAACUUUAUGCACAAAGAAUGGACUCACGCGAAA